AUUUGGACGAGCAGGGUAACCGAGUGUAUACAUUGAAGAAAGUUGACCCCCAAGGAAAUAGAACUUUAUCUUCUCAUCCAGAUUUUCCCCCGACGACAAGGUCUCCAAGGAACGCGUUACAAUCAAGAAACGGUUUGGCCUGCUUUUGACUCAACAAAGUCAACAGGUGUUUUGAAAUGAACGCACAAAAGGUAUGGCGAGGAAAUUUUACUGCAGUCCAUCGUGAUCGUCUUU